AGUCCCAUAUCCGAGUACUUGAAUCCACUCCAGAGAAUAGAUCUGCACUUCUAAUGGGUCUUGAAUAUCUAAUUGUCAUUUCUUAUGUUGAUGACGCUGAGGUUUUUAAGGUAUGCUUGGAUUACUGGAACUCUUUAGUCCUUGAGCUGUUUGAGGCACAUCAUAACCUUGACAACCGUGGUGCUGCUGCUGCAAGCAUGAUGGGGCUUUAGUUUAUUAGGUACUUAAAGAAGAGGGGGAAAGUCGAUGAUGAUUUUUUGAGAACUCUGAAAAAGGGGGAAUGGAUGAAGAGCUCUAAAGGGUA